rnacentral:lncRNA from 1 species
CCUUAAAACCCCACUUUUUGCCAGUUUUUAUCAUUAUUAUUAUCACAUUUUUUAGUUUUCACCUUUUUAUGUUUUGCCCUUUUUUCUUUCAAUACCUGAUUAAAUUUUGACUUUUUCUUUAAUUUCUUUUCAUGAUUAGACAUCAAGCCUUGAUCUAUGGAUACAACACUCCCUAUAUUAUUAUUCCAUGAUUAUUCUGUAGAUAUACUAUUACUUGUCUGUAUUUUAACUACCCUC